rnacentral:ribozyme from 1 species
UUUAUUUUUUUUAUUUUUUUUAUUUUUGCUACUUUGUUUUGGCUCCUUUCUUCUCCUUUUUUUUGGCUCCUUUACACCAGACACCAGACAAACACAGUGUAGCGGUAUAGAAGUUACAUCGAUACACCCAACAAGAAAGAGAGGAAUACCACCUCCAGCUUUCAUCUUCAUCUUCACAAUGAGAAAGACAGACGAA